GUCUUAGUGGUUCAGUGGAAGAAUCCUUGCCUUCCAUGCUGGAGACCUGGGCUCAGUUCCCAGCCAACGCA
rnacentral:tRNA from 1 species